UUGUAUUGGUGUUGUCAAGGAAGGUGUUGCUGUAGUCAGUGUUGUAUUGGUGUUGUCAAGGAAGGUGUUGGUGUGGUCAGUAUUGUAUUGGUUUUGUCAAGGAAGGUGUUGGUGUGGUCAGUAUUGUAUUGGUGUUGUCAAGGAAGGUGUUGGUGUGGUCAGUAUUGUAUUGGUGUUGUCAAGGAAGGUGUAGGUGUGCUCAGUGUUGUAUUGGUGUUUGUCAAGGAAGGUGUAGGUGUGCUCAGUGUUGUAUUGGUGUUUGUCAAGGAAGGUGUUGGUAUAGUCAGUAUUGUAUGGGUGUUGUCAAGGAAGGUGUUGGUAUAGUCAGUAUUGUAUUGGUGUUG